GACGAACGCUGGCGGCGUGCUUAACACAUGCAAGUCGAACGGAAAGGCCUGCUUUCCCUUGUGGAUUGCGGGUACUCGAGUGGCGAACGGGUGAGUAACACGUGAGUGAUCUGCCCCCAACUUGGGUAUAAGCCUGGGAAACUGGGUCUAAUUCCCGAUAGGACUGCAGGGUGGUGCCUGUGGUGGAAAACGAUUUUCUAGUGGUUGGGGAUGAGCUCGCGGCCUAUCAGCUUGUUGGUGGGGUAAUGGCCUACCAAGGCGGCGACGGGUAGCCGGCCUGAGAGGGUGGACGGCCACAGUGGGACUGGGAUACGGCCCAGACUCCUACGGGAGGCAGCAGUGGGGAAUAUUGCACAAUGGGCGGAAGCCUGAUGCAGCGACGCCGCGUGGGGGAUGACGACCUUCGGGUUGUAAACUCCUUUCGACCGCGAGGAAGCCACCUGGUUGGAAGGGUGGUGACGGUAGUGGUAGAAGAAGCACCGGCUAACUACGUG
rnacentral:rRNA from 1 species